rnacentral:rRNA from 1 species
GAGUUUGAUCCUGGCUCAGGACGAACGCUGGCGGCAUGCCUAAUACAUGCAAGUCGAGCGAACAGAUGAAGUGCUUGCACUUCUGACGUUAGCGGCUAACGGGUGAGUAACACGUAAGGAAUCUACCUAUAAGCGGGGGAUAACAUUCGGAAACGGGUGCUAAUACCGCAUAAUAUCUUCUUCCGCAUGGAAGAAGAUUGAAAGACGGCUCUGCUGUCACUUAUAGAUGACCUUGCGGUGCAUUAGUUAGUUGGUGGGGUAACGGCCUACCAAGACGAUGAUGCAUAGCCGACCUGAGAGGGUGAUCGGCCACAUUGGGACUGAGACACGGCCCAAACUCCUACGGGAGGCAGCAGUAGGGAAUCUUCCGCAAUGGGCGAAAGCCUGACGGAGCAAUGCCGCGUGAGUGAAGAAGGCCUUCGGGUCGUAAAACUCUGUUAUAAGAGAAGAACAAAUUGUAGAGUAACUGCUACAGUCUUGACGGUAUCUUAUCAGAAAGCCACGGCUAACUACGUGCCAGCAGCCGCGGUAAUACGUAGGUGGCAAGCGUUGUCCGGAUUUAUUGGGCGUAAAGGGAGCGCAGGUGGUUUCUUAAGUCUGAUGUGAAAGCCCACGGCUUAACCGUGGAGGGUCAUUGGAAACUGGGAAACUUGAGUACAGAAGAGGAAUGUGGAACUCCAUGUGUAGCGGUGGAAUGCGUAGAUAUAUGGAAGAACACCAGUGGCGAAGGCGACAUUCUGGUCUGUUACUGACACUGAGGCUCGAAAGCGUGGGGAGCAAACAGGAUUAGAUACCCUGGUAGUCCACGCCGUAAACGAUGAGUGCUAGGUGUUGGAGGGUUUCCGCCCUUC